rnacentral:rRNA from 1 species
GAUGAACGCUGGCGGCGUGCCUAACACAUGCAAGUCGAGCGAACCCUUCGGGGUGAGCGGCGGACGGGUGAGUAACGCGUGGGUAACCUGCCCUGUACACACGGAUAACAUACCGAAAGGUAUGCUAAUACGAGAUAAUAUAUUUUAAUCGCAUGGUUAAGAUAUCAAAGCUCCGGCGGUACAGGAUGGACCCGCGUCUGAUUAGCUAGUUGGUGAGGUAAUGGCUCACCAAGGCGACGAUCAGUAGCCGACCUGAGAGGGUGAUCGGCCACACUGGAACUGAGACACGGUCCAGACUCCUACGGGAGGCAGCAGUGGGGAAUAUUGCACAAUGGGCGAAAGCCUGAUGCAGCAACGCCGCGUGAGCGAUGAAGGCCUC